AGAGAUUUAAGUUAAUAUAACCAAACCUAGAGCCUUCAAAACUCUAAAUGAAAGUAAAAAUCUUUCAAUCCCUA
rnacentral:tRNA from 1 species